rnacentral:tRNA from 2 species
GGGCUAUUAGCUCAGCUGGAUAGAGCGCUGCCCUCCGGAGGCAGAGGCCACAGGUUCGACUCCUGUAUAGCCCACCA